UAUUAUGGUUUUAGGAGUUAUUUCUAUAGGUUGUUACUGGACGAGGUACCGAGGUUCCGUGUAGAGUCCUCAAAGUCCACGAGGAGGGGGGUUCUCCUCUGAGUGUGAAGCCAGCUCUUGGUGUUGCUUCUGUAACUGCCUUUUGCCUUUGAUGACUGCUCUUUUCGCCUGGAGGAGUAAGUAGAGGGAGGGAACGCCAUCUGAGUGGU
ensembl:snoRNA U3 Small nucleolar RNA U3